rnacentral:rRNA from 1 species
UACGUAGGGGGCAAGCGUUGUCCGGAAUCAUUGGGCGUAAAGAGCGCGUAGGCGGUCCGGUAAGUCCGCUCUGAAAGUCCGGGGCUCAACCCCGGGAGGCGGGCGGAUACUGUCGGGCUAGAGUCCGGAAGAGGCGAGUGGAAUUCCUGGUGUAGCGGUGAAAUGCGUAGAGAUCGGGAGGAACACCAGUGGCGAAGGCGGCUACCUGGACCAGCACUGACACUGAGGCACGAAAGCGUGGGGAGCAAACAGG